GAUGAACGCUGGCGGCGUGCCUAAUACAUGCAAGUCGAGCGAACGGACGAGAAGCUUGCUUCUCUGAUGUUAGCGGCGGACGGGUGAGUAACACGUGGAUAACCUACCUAUAAGACUGGGAUAACUUCGGGAAACCGGAGCUAAUACCGGAUAAUAUUUUGAACCGCAUGGUUCAAAAGUGAAAGACGGUCUUGCUGUCACUUAUAGAUGGAUCCGCGCUGCAUUAGCUAGUUGGUAAGGUAACGGCUUACCAAGGCAACGAUGCAUAGCCGACCUGAGAGGGUGAUCGGCCACACUGGAACUGAGACACGGUCCAGACUCCUACGGGAGGCAGCAGUAGGGAAUCUUCCGCAAUGGGCGAAAGCCUGACGGAGCAACGCCGCGUGAGUGAUGAAGGUCUUCGGAUCGUAAAACUCUGUUAUCAGGGAAGAACAUAUGUGUAAGUAACUGUGCACAUCUUGACGGUACCUAAUCAGAAAGCCACGGCUAACUACGUGCCAGCAGCCGCGGUAAUACGUAGGUGGCAAGCGUUAUCCGGAAUUAUUGGGCGUAAAGCGCGCGUAGGCGGUUUUUUAGUCUGAUGUGAAAGCCCACGGCUCAACCGUGGAGGGUCAUUGGAAACUGGAAAACUUGAGUGCAGAAGAGGAAAGUGGAAUUCCAUGUGUAGCGGUGAAAUGCGCAGAGAUAUGGAGGAACACCAGUGGCGAAGGCGACUUUCUGGUCUGUAACUGACGCUGAUGUGCGAAAGCGUGGGGAUCAAACAGGAUUAGAUACCCUGGUAGUCCACGCCGUAAACGAUGAGUGCUAAGUGUUAGGGGGUUUCCGCCCCUUAGUGCUGCAGCUAACGCAUUAAGCACUCCGCCUGGGGAGUACGACCGCAAGGUUGAAACUCAAAGGAAUUGACGGGGACCCGCACAAGCGGUGGAGCAUGUGGUUUAAUUCGAAGCAACGCGAAGAACCUUACCAAAUCUUGACAUCCUUUGACAACUCUAGAGAUAGAGCUUUCCCCUUCGGGGGACAAAGUGACAGGUGGUGCAUGGUUGUCGUCAGCUCGUGUCGUGAGAUGUUGGGUUAAGUCCCGCAACGAGCGCAACCCUUAAGCUUAGUUGCCAUCAUUAAGUUGGGCACUCUAAGUUGACUGCCGGUGACAAACCGGAGGAAGGUGGGGAUGACGUCAAAUCAUCAUGCCCCUUAUGAUUUGGGCUACACACGUGCUACAAUGGACAAUACAAAGGGCAGCGAAACCGCGAGGUCAAGCAAAUCCCAUAAAGUUGUUCUCAGUUCGGAUUGUAGUCUGCAACUCGACUACAUGAAGCUGGAAUCGCUAGUAAUCGUAGAUCAGCAUGCUACGGUGAAUACGUUCCCGGGUCU
rnacentral:rRNA from 1 species